AAUUGUGUGUUUGUAUGUAGUGGAAAGAUACGUAAUCCUCUCACCUGGCCAACUUGUGCAACUUUUUUUCAGAUAAGCAUAAACUUUAUUGUGUUUCGAACUAGCUAGAUAAGCUUGUUAUUCACAGGUUAAUUAAUAUUGAUAAGGACAAUGAGGAUGGACACGCGAAAGUGCUGAAGGACUGAAUAAUUAAUGUAAUAUUGAUGGGUAUUGGAUCGAUAAUAUGUGGGAUGAAACAAUAAAUGCCGUGUUAAAUAAAAGCACUUUGCAAAAUUAGUGGCAAGACAGAUAUUCGUUAUGUUUCGCUUUCACAAUUUUCAUGCAUAUAAAUACUUAUGUACAAUACAUUUUCUGAGAAAAGUUGUGUUUAGCAUGAAAAAUUGUUGGUAAAUUGCAUGAAGAUUAGGGGUUUAUUAAAAAAACUUACGUAAUUUCGAGAAUGACAGAAUCAUCAGGUGUCGAACAAGGGUCAGCACAAGUUCUGGGGCUCAGAAGGCGGACAUUAUCGGAUAAAAAUGGAGACUUAAAUAGUUCUUGCAUAUUUUAUGUUUGCAUGGUCAGAUGUAUUUUUUUUAAUUUACAUAAUGCACAUGUAUUUACUGCGAUGUGUAUGAUUGCAUUAUUUUUCAUUUAAAAUAAGGAAAUUUGUUCAUGCUAAUAAAUAAGUACAUGUGUACGUCGGUACAUCAAAUAAUUUAUUUAUCAAUUAGAUUACACGGAAGUUUUAGUGAAUAAAGAGGAAAUAAGUUUACUUUAUUUGUCAAUUAUUUAGAUUGCUAUCUACGAUUCAAUGCGUAGAAAAGGACGAAAAAAUUGAGAAAAAUUAUAAUUUAUUGAUCAUUUCAAGAGAGAAUAUUGCAAAGUUUAUUUAUUUACUAUAUUUCUACAUAUAUAUUUAAAAGUAAAAUAUAUAAACAAGGCCCCAAAAAAUGGGAAAUCUUAGUGAGUCAGCACAAUCACAGUUAAUAAAUAAAAUUAGAUUGAAUAAUUUUUUCAUCACCGCUCUCGGUAUAAUUUUUCCUGGAAGCAUUAAUUAAUCAUUUAGAAUAAUUGCCCCCCCCUCAAAGGGUCUGGAGAUUUCAUCUGAAUAGGAAUUAAUAGGAUAUCUAAAUUUAUAUAUCGAAAUUGUAGAUUUUCAACUCUUUCUAAAUUUAAAAUUCGCAGUUCACAAUUAUAUUUCAUAUCGAUUAAUUUAUUCAACUUCUCGUUCAAUAGUAAAAACGUCAUCUUGUAAUCUCAAUUAAUUUAAUGAAUGCAAGAGUUCAUGCGUAUGCAAAACUAAAUUUACAGUGGACCCAGUAAAAAUUAUCCCGAGAGCGGUGAUGCAAAAGUUAUUCAAUCUAAUUUUAUUUAUUAACUGUGAUUGUGCUGACUCACUAAGAUUUCCCAUUUUUUGGGGCCUUGUUUAUUUAAAACUUGUAAUUUGGUUGUCAAAGACAUUAUUUUUACUGCACAACCGCCGUUAUUAUCGGCACCUUGAAUAUUUUUAUUAAAUUUUUGAUUUUCAAACUUGAAUAACGCCGUUAUUUCUCAACCGAUUUAGGUCAUUUUGGGCUUAAAAUGUCCGGAAUGACUUUGACUAAAAUAUUUUCAAUAAGCGAGCAUGCUGGGAUACACCACUUAUGAGUCAUAAAAAUAAAUAUGUUUU